rnacentral:rRNA from 1 species
UACGGAGGAUGCGAGCGUUAUCCGGAUUUAUUGGGUUUAAAGGGAGCGUAGACGGAGGAUUAAGUCAGUUGUGAAAGUUUGCGGCUCAACCGUAAAAUUGCAGUUGAUACUGGUUCCCUUGAGUGCAGUUGAGGCAGGCGGAAUUCGUGGUGUAGCGGUGAAAUGCUUAGAUAUCACGAAGAACCCCGAUUGCGAAGGCAGCCUGCUAAGCUGUAACUGACGUUGAUGCUCGAAAGUGUGGGUAUCAAACAGG